AACGAACGCUGGCGGCGCGCCUAACACAUGCAAGUCGAACGGAGCUAUAUUGAAAGCUUGCUGGAUAUAUAGCUUAGUGGCGGACGGGUGAGUAACACGUGAGCAACCUGCCUUUCAGAGUGGAAUAACGUUUGGAAACGAACGCUAAUACCGCAUAAUGUCAGAGGACGGCAUCGUUCUUUGACCAAAGAUUUAUCGCUGAAAGAUGGGCUCGCGGCCGAUUAGGUAGUUGGUGAGAUAAUAGCCCACCAAGCCGACGAUCGGUAGCCGGACUGAGAGGUUGAACGGCUACAUUGGGACUGAGACACGGCCCCGACUCCUACGGGAGGCAGCAGUGGGGGAUAUUGCCCAAUGGGGGAAACCCUGAUGCAGCGACGCCGCGUGAGGGAAGAUGGCCUUCGGGUUGUAAACCUCUGUCUUCGGGGACGAAUAAAUGACGGUACCCGAGGAGGAAGCCACGGCUAACUACGUGCCAGCCGCCGCCGUAAGAC
rnacentral:rRNA from 1 species